GAGAGAGAAAGUUGAGAGAAGUGGAAGAGAGAAGAAAGAAGGGGCCGUCGUGGAGUUCAUUCCAGCCAAGACCGUGAUGCAAGGAGUCAUUCUUGGAAGGGAGAAGAGGAUUUGAGUAAUCGAAGUUCCAUUUUACGUCAAGGACUAAGAAGAUUAGAAAGGAGGAGAGAGAAAGUUUCUAGCGAGCCACGUGUCGACCACCGGCGAGAGUAAAAUUCUUUGAAACAACAAAGGGACACGUGUCGCCCACUUCAUGGAGCAACGCAGCUCCAGUUGAGUAGUGACACACGUCCUCUGCAACCCAAUUCGACCCGCGUACCAACCCGAUCCGACCCACUACCUAUCAAUCCAAUUGGCCUGCAGUCCAACCCGAGUGAAUCUAACUGAGACCCGAACUGCCACCCAAACCGGCCUAGCGACCUACGGCUGCAGGACAUGACUCGAGCUUGAUUCCUCCAAGUAGUAUCUUUCCAAGCGCAUGUAGGU